ACUGGGCCCUUAUGCGCUUUGCUUCCAGUUCCACCGACUGCAGCAUCUUUCUUUGCUAGCUGCCCGGGUAAAACGCUUCUGUCGCACUUUCCUGCUUCUCCCCCUUUCUUUCCGCCUCUGGAUCUGAGAAAGAAAUAAAACCAAGCCUCCUACCGCACCAGCCCUCCCCACCCCUGCUGCCUCACUUCUCCUUACCGAGUGUACCGCCUUGUUUUCUGAAGGAAACCGUAACAUUCAGACAUUUAAGCUGUAAAUGAACUUUUCUUUAUGACGUUUAAUUUUCUCUCCAAUUCUUAGGUCCUGCUCCGCUUCGCAGUGGAAUGGAACGGAUUUAGAAGCCUGCAGUAGGGGAGUGGGGAGUGGAGAGAGGGAGCCCAGAGUUACAGACGGCGGCGAGAGGAAGGAGGGGCGUCUUUAUUUUUUUAAGGCCCCAAAGAGUCUGAUGUUUACAAGACCAGAAAUGCCACGGCCGCGUCCUGGCAGAGAAAAGGCUGAAAUGGAGGACCGGCGCCUUCCUUAUAAGCUCGUUGGGGCCUAAGCCAGUACCGACCUGGUAGAAAAAGCAACCACGAAGCUAGAGAGAGAGCCAGAGGAGGGAAGAGAGCGCCAGACGAAGGUGAAAGCGAACCACGCAGAGAAAUGCAGGCAAGGGAGCAAGGCGGCAGUUCCCGGAACAAACGUGGCAGAGGGCAAGACGGGCACUCACAGACAGAGGUUUAUGUAUUUUUAUUUUUUAAAAUCUGAUUUGGUGUUCCAUGAGGAAAAGGGAAAAUCUAGGGAACGGGAGUACAGAGAGAAUAAUCCGGGUCCUAGCUCGCCACAUGAACGCCCAGAGAACGCUGGAAAAACCUGAGCGGGUGCCGGGGCAGCACCCGGCUCGGGUCAGCCACUGCCCCACACCGGGCCCACCAAGCCCCGCCCCUCGCGGCCACCGGGGCUUCCUUGCUCUUCUUAUCAUCUCCAUCUUUAUGAUGAGGCUUGUUAACAAGACCAGAGAGCUGGCCAAGCACCUCUAUCUCAGCCGCGCCCGCUCAGCCGAGCAGCGGUCGGUGGGGGGACUGGGAGGCGCUAAUUAAUUGAUUCCUUUGGACUGUAAAAUAUGGCGGCGUCUACACGGAACCCAUGGACUCAUAAACAAUAUAUCUGUUGGGCGUGAGUGCACUGUCUCUCAAAUAAUUUUUCCAUAGGCAAAUGUCAGAGGGUUCUGGAUUUUUAGUUGCUAAGGAAAGAUCCAAAUGGGACCAAUUUUAGGAGGCCCAAACAGAGUCCGUUCAGUGUCAGAAAAUGCUUCCCCAAAGGGGUUGGGAGUGUGUUUUGUUGGAAAAAAGCUUGGGUUAUAGGAAAGCCUUUCCCUGCUACUUGUGUAGACCCAGCCCAAUUUAAGAAUUACAAGGAAGCGAAGGGGUUGUGUAGGCCGGAAGCCUCUCUGUCCCGGCUGGAUGCAGGGGACUUGAGCUGCUCCGGAAUUUGAGAGGAACAUAGAAGCAAAGGUCCAGCCUUUGCUUCGUGCUGAUUCCUAGACUUAAGAUUCAAAAACAAAUUUUUAAAAGUGAAACCAGCCCUAGCCUUUGGAAGCUCUUGAAGGUUCAGCACCCACCCAGGAAUCCACCUGCCUGUUACACGCCUCUCCAAGACACAGUGGCACCGCUUUUCUAACUGGCAGCACAGAGCAACUCUAUAAUAUGCUUAUAUUAGGUCUAGAAGAAUGCAUCUUGAGACACAUGGGUAACCUAAUUAUAUAAUGCUUGUUCCAUACAGGAGUGAUUAUGCAGUGGGACCCUGCUGCAAACGGGACUUUGCACUCUAAAUAUAGACCCCAGCUUGGGACAAAAGUUGCAGUAGAAAAAUAGACAUAGGAGAACACUUAAAUAAGUGAUGCAUGUAGACACAGAAGGGGUAUUUAAAAGACAGAAAUAAUAGAAGUACAGAAGAACAGAAAAAAAAUCAGCAGAUGGAGAUUACCAUUCCCAAUGCCUGAACUUCCUCCUGCUAUUAAGAUUGCUAGAGAAUUGUGUCUUAAACAGUUCAUGAACCCAGAAGAAUGCAAUUUCAAUGUAUUUAGUACACACACAGUAUGUAUAUAAACACAACUCACAGAAUAUAUUUUCCAUACAUUGGGUAGGUAUGCACUUUGUGUAUAUAUAAUAAUGUAUUUUCCAUGCAGUUUUAAAAUGUAGAUAUAUUAAUAUCUGGAUGCAUUUUCUGUGCACUGGUUUUAUAUGCCUUAUGGAGUAUAUACUCACAUGUAGCUAAAUAGACUCAGGACUGCACAUUCCUUGUGUAGGUUGUGUGUGUGUGGUGGUUUUAUGCAUAAAUAAAGUUUUACAUGUGG
rnacentral:lncRNA from 1 species